AUGAAAGAAAGCUGGCAGACAGACUCAUGUCUAAGAUUUUCAUGCCUUACAAGAUUUGUUAUUUUGAGUCUGCUGGGUUAUUUUCUGGAGUUCUGCACUUCAUGGAUUCCAGCCAGGUCUGUGUCCCCAGCUGAGAACUCCAGCAGUUUGCAGAGAAAGCCUGGCACUGUUUAUGUGUCUUCUUGUCUCCUAAUUGCAUCUGGAUGUCCAGAAGAAAAUAACACAGGGAGAACUGGAUGUCAGUGGGACAAACUUUCUCAAGAAGCAUUUUGA
rnacentral:lncRNA from 1 species